AUGGGAACGCGAAGAACCUUACCUAGACUUGACAUCUCCUGAAUAGUGUAGAGAUACAUGAAGCCCUUCGGGGCAGGAAGACAGGUGGUGCAUGGUUGUCGUCAGCUCGUGUCGUGAGAUGUUGGGUUAAGUCCCGCAACGAGCGCAACCCUUAUUACUAGUUGCUACCAUUAAGUUGAGCACUCUAGUGAGACUGCCCGGGUUAACCGGGAGGAAGGCGGGGAUGACGUCAAAUCAUCAUGCCCCUUAUGUCUAGGGCUACACACGUGCUACAAUGGUGAGUACAGAUAGAUGCGAUACCGCAAGGUGGAGCCAAACUCUAAAACUCAUCCCAGUUCGGAUUGUAGGCUGCAACUCGCCUACAUGAAGUUGGAGUUGCUAGUAAUCGCGAAUCAGAAUGUCGCGGUGAAUACGUUCCCGGGUCUUGUACACACCG
rnacentral:rRNA from 1 species